rnacentral:snRNA from 1 species
AAAAAGGGCAGGCCUUUUUUAAGGCACAAAGAUGCUUUCGCGUCUAGUGAUGAAUCGCGAUCACGAGAUUUAUCCUGCAUAAUUUCUGACAUGCCGCGUCGGAAUGGGCCGAGAAGGCUAAUUCCGCCG